CCUACGGGACGCACCAGUGGGGAAUAUUGCACAAUGGGCGCAAGCCUGAUGCAGCCUUGCCGCGUGUAUGAAGAAGGCUUUAGGGUUGUAAAGUACUUUCAGUUGGGAGGAAGGCGUUGAUGCUAAUAUCAUCAGCGAUUGACGUUACCAACAGAAGAAGCACCGGCUAGCUCCGUGCCAGCAGCCGCGGUAAUACGGAGGGUGCAAGCGUUAAUCGGAAUUACUGGGCGUAAAGCGCACGCAGGCGGUUGAUUGAGUUAGAUGUGAAAUCCCCGGGCUUAACCUGGGAAUGGCAUCUAAGACUGGUCAGCUAGAGUCUUGUAGAGGGGGGUAGAAUUCCAUGUGUAGCGGUGAAAUGCGUAGAGAUGUGGAGGAAUACCGGUGGCGAAGGCAGCCCCCUGGACAGAGACUGACGCUCAGGUGCGAAAGCGUGGGGAGCAAACAGGAUUAGAUACCCGGGUAGUC
rnacentral:rRNA from 1 species